rnacentral:rRNA from 1 species
UACGUAGGGUGCAAGCGUUAAUCGGAAUUACUGGGCGUAAAGCGUGCGCAGGCGGUUUUGUAAGUCUGUCGUGAAAUCCCCCGGGCUCAACCUGGGAAUUGCGAUGGAGACUGCAAGGCUAGAAUCUGGCAGAGGGGGGGUAGAAUUCCACGUGUAGCAGUGAAAUGCGUAGAGAUGUGGAGGAACACCGAUGGGCGAAGGCAGCCCCCUGGGUCAAGAUUGACGCUCAUGCACGAAAGCGUGGGGAGC